rnacentral:rRNA from 2 species
GACGGAGGGUGCAAGCGUUGUUCGGAAUUACUGGGCGUAAAGCGUACGUAGGCGGCGGGUUAAGUCGAAUGUUAAAGCCAGAGGCUCAACCUCUGAGAUGCAUUCGAUACUGGCUUGCUAGAGGGUGAUAGAGGAAAGUGGAAUUCCCAGUGUAGCGGUGAAAUGCGUAGAUAUUGGGAGGAACAUCAGUAGCGAAGGCGACUUUCUGGGUCACACCUGACGCUGAGGUACGAAAGCGUGGGGAGCAAACGGG